GUCUUUUCAAGUUAGGUCUUCCCCUCCGUUUUCCUACUUUGCCUCUUUACUUUUCCUGUCUUCCUCUUCUCCCCUUCCUCCUCCUUUCCUGAGUCCCCCUCAAUUCUUAAUAGAAACCAGUAUCCAGAUAGCUCACUAGGGGUUGAAGAGCUUGUUGGUAGAUUGAAAAGUAAAUGCAAAGGAGGAAAAUGGAAGAAUCUGGUGGUAACAGCAGGGAGAGCCAAGGCGAAUUGCUUUCAGGAGUCUCUGUCUCUGUCUGCAAGCCAAACCCAGUUUGCCCAUUAGGCAGACAUCUGGUGUGGGGACCAUGGCACGACUUCUUCUUGGUGCCUAAAUCUGAGUGGAAGGCCGAGCUGUACUCGGUGAGAAUUCAUCUGGAGAUCAAGAGAAACAGGGUCUUGCUUUGUUUCCUGUUUUCCUGGUCUGACAUCCCUGGCUUCAAGCAAUCCUCCUGCCACUGUCUCCCAAAUUGCUGGGACUACAGACGUGAGCCACUGUGCCUUGCCAGCCUAAUCUUUAACUCGACAUUGCAAGAUAACUUUUAAUAUCUCUGCUUUAUAGAGGAAGGCACUGAGAUUAAGAGAGAUUAAAAGACUCUCCAAGGUCACAUACAGAUUGAGUGGCAGGGCCAGAAUUUGAACACUUUUGACUUUUCCCAUAACAUUAAGCUGCUCGUUUGUGGCCACACUAUACCUCGUCGACAUUCACCACUGUCUCUAAGCCAGGUAAAUCA
rnacentral:lncRNA from 13 species